UACGUAGGGUGCGAGCGUUUAAUCGGAAUUACUGGGCGUAAAGCGUGCGCAGGCGGUUCGUUGUGUCGGCGGUGAAAGCCCCGGGCUCAACCUGGGAAUGGCCGUUGAAACUGGCGAACUGGAGUGUGGCAGAGGGGGGUGGAAUUCCGCGUGUAGCAGUGAAAUGCGUAGAGAUGCGGAGGAACACCGAUGGCGAAGGCAGCCCCCCUGGGGCUGACACUGACGCUCAGGCACGAAAGCGUGGGGGAGCGAACAGG
rnacentral:rRNA from 1 species